ncrna:unclassified sequences raiA RNA
AUUUCGCAGGUCUGUGGUUGCAAGUCGAUGCCAGUCGCAGGCGAAACGAUCCACGUAAGGAGGGCAAAAGAUCCUCUGAGCACGGUGCGGUUUAGAAGUAAGUCCUGCCGGGAAAACCGAGAGGGUCAGUAGUGAGAGGCGGACAGCCGGGUAGCGAACGCUCCAGCAGGCGGGUGUGGGGGCGAAAACCAGGUCAGCUGCGAAAU